GAAAUACUGUCAACCUGUUGUGGUGACAUCAAGUGAUGAUGCUGUGGAAGAUAAUGCUGCUAUGGUUUGUAACUAUACAUCAGAUACAAUGUCAUCUAAGAGAAGUGGUAGACAAGGAGACCUGAAACAUUAUGAAGAAAUACCAGGAGUAUCAGAUCAAAAUAUAUAUAAAAACAACGAUUCAUCUACAUCAAAAGAUUCUAAUGAAGAAACACCAGUGAAACAUGUAUAAUUGUAGUACUGAAAUAACCCAACCAAUUGUAUGUAUGUAUAAUAUCUGUACAUACACAAUCUCAUAUAUACAUGGUGUAUUUUCUGUACAAUAUAGCAGUAUAGAUGUAAAGAUGAGGGUGUCAAGUAAUGAACAAUGCUUCAGAUAACUAAAUAUAUAAGUUCUAUAAAUUAAUAGCUUUCUUUCAGUCUGUAUUAGUUUCUGUACAAUAAUCAUCGUAUAUUUGUUUUUCAAAAAGUUUUUCGUUAAGCACGAAAAACUUUUUUUUUUUUUUAAUUUUUACUAAAUAAUGCAGUUUAUGAAUCCAAAUAUUGACACAUGAUUAUAAUUCUCUGAAGAUAAUUAUCUAAUCAACCCGAAACUUUGUUUGCAGACCAUAAAAACAGUCACUUUAGUGAGAUAUUCUAGUUGCAAGCUGCCUAAAUACUUCAUUGUCUUUCAUUCCUAUUGAAGUCAAUGGAAUAAUAAUAAUAAUAAUAAUUGUUUCUAAGAAAGCACAAAGCCAAAAGUUUGGUUGGGUAGGUUAGGUCAAAUAUAUCAUCUCAAAUAUUCUGCUGGUAUUAUAUCUUAUCAAUCCCAGAAGGAUGAAAGGCACAAUUGACCUCUGCAGAUUUUGAACUCUGAAUGAGUCAUAAAGAAUAAUGCAAAGCUUUUUAUUCCGAUGUAUAACAGAAUUAAGGUAAAGGGACAAAAUGACUUGCAGUUUUCCUUUUAGUUCUUUCCAUUCUGAAAUGAAAUCCCAUCAAUGCUAACCUUUCUUUUUAUCCUGUCAAGAUCAAUUAAAUAAAGUACUAGCCAAUUACUGGGGUUGAUGAUAUCAGAUAUCAUCCCCAUCUUCUCAAAAUUGUUGUACCUAAAUCAGAAGCCAUUAUUAUGGAUGGUGGCAAGCUGGAAGAAUCUUUAGAGCAUUGGGGAAAAAAACAUCUUAUAGCAUCUCCUGGCUCUUUACAUACUGGAUUCAAUUCCUCUCAGGAUCAAACAUUCGCAUCAAUGGUGUUCACAAAACCCAUACCUCUCAAAAUUGCUGGCCUGUACCAAAAUGAGAAAUCAUUAUCAUCAUCAUCAUUUAUAACGUUUGUUUUAUUAUGUGGCCAUCUAGAGAUAACCAUCUUGUUUAACAUUGACACUUUCAGAAGUAUUUGUAAUUAUAGCUACAUUAUACCUUUAAUUCUAAGUGUAAGCAGUAUUUCAGAAAUUGUAAAUCAUAAUGUCAUAUAUUCUUGUGACAAUAUAUAAACAUUCUCAUUGAAAUAUAAAUGCAUAUAAAUUUCCAAGAGGACACUAGCAUUGAAUUUUAGGAGCAAGGUAAUUCAACAUAAAGAUAGUUAUAAUGGCAAUAAAGUUUAUGAAAAAGAAUGAACAUCACACAGUCUCACUUUUUUCCAUGUACAAAUUUAAAGUAUUUGUCUAAUAAAAUCAAUGUAAAAGAGAAGAUUGUCAUUGGUCUUCUGUUUAGGUCAUUCAGCCAAUCAGAUUCUCACUAAAACACAGAAAGAAAUCACUAACAAAGAUAUGCAUUCACAUUACUGAUGUUCUUAAACCAAACAAUUAUGUAUAAAUCUAGAAUAUUACUGCUUUUGAAAUAUAUAUCGACAUAGAUAUAUGUAAAUAGUUAUUGAUAACAGUAAACAAACACCAUCUUUGAGGAUAAAUACAUGCAGAAUAUUAUUACAUGGAUGUACUCCCACAAAACAUACAACUUCAAUGACACAUGCAGCCCUCUCCUAGCAGCAGACUAUCUGCCUGACGUGCUACACUACUCCAUCAACAUACAGCCAUUGUCACACCAUUACAGCAGCACGUACAAUGGAUCUUUCUACAACAAUACAUCUUUCUAUUCUCACUGAAUAACCAAUGAUAUAAUUAUUAAAGAGGUUCAAUCCUCAAAACAUCUGAUAUCUUUACCACAGCGACAAAAUGUUGCUCUCAUUGACUAUUAUAUUGUCAAUAAUCCACUGUGUCCUGACCAUAGACCUUACAUAUCAUGUGGAAGAAGAGAGAAGUCCAGGAACAUAUGUAGCAGACAUUGCUGCUGAUUCUAAACUUUUAGACAAUGUUAAACCAUCUGACCAACAUUUGAUAACAUUCAGUCAAUUCAAACGAAAGGUGGCACAGUUAUUUAAUAUCACCAAAACAGGUAAACUGUACACUGCUCAGACACUGGAUGCAGAAGAUCUAUGUACAUUCAACAAAGAAUGUUCCAGAACUGUUAAAAUUAUUAUAAAGAAAGUGGAUAGUUUCACAAAAAUAUUAAAAGUCAAAAUAGUGAUAGAAGACAUUAAUGACCAUGAACCGGAGUUUCCAGAAAAACAA